UACGUAGGGGGCAAGCGUUGUCCGGAUUUAUUGGGCGUAAAGCGCUCGCAGGCGGCUCGAUGCGUCGCGCGUGAAACCCCCCGGCUCAACUGGGAGAGGUCCUUGCAUACUGGCGGACUUGAGGGGGGUAGAGGAAAGUGGAAUUCCCGGUGUAGUGGUGAUAUGCGUAGAUAUCGGGAGGAACACCUGUGGCGAAGGCGGCUUUCUGGGCCCUACCUGACGCUGAGACGCGAAAGCGUGGGGAGCGAACAGG
rnacentral:rRNA from 1 species